AUGCUGAUGGGUGUUUAUUUGUCUAACUUCAACUUCCUUAGCUCAAUGGAAUAGCAGCUAAGAGCGAGCCCACAAAGAUUUGGUUGUCUUUCCUUGUCCACAGCAACAACGCCAGAAGCUGAGGGUAGGAUGAGGUGCCUACAGCCUUCAGCAUGUUCUCCCCAGGAGAUAAAGAGACCGUGAAGGAUGUGAGCUCUUUCAAAGAAGGAUGAGAUCAAGUCAUCAUCUGAUUUGUGCUUUCAGAGGAUGAAGCAGACCUGCCAGUACAGAGCGACUCGGUCGAGUCUUUUGCUCAGCUGCUGGUGAAGCUGUGAGUGCAUACAGAGAGGCCUGGAUGGAGACGGUGCCUUACGAUAGCAAGAGAGAGAGAGAGUGAGGAGGAUUGCCAGAGCCAAAAGAGGAGAGAAGGCGCAAGCUCAGAAAUCCUGCUCAUCUGCCUAGCGGAA